GACGAACGCUGGCGGCGUGCUUAACACAUGCAAGUCGAACGGAAAGACCCUGCUUUUGUGGGGUGCUCGAGUGGCGAACGGGUGAGUAACACGUGAGUAACCUGCCCUUGACUUUGGGAUAACUUCAGGAAACUGGGGCUAAUACCGGAUAGGAGCUCCUGCUGCAUGGUGGGGGUUGGAAAGUUUCGGCGGUUGGGGAUGGACUCGCGGCUUAUCAGCUUGUUGGUGGGGUAGUGGCUUACCAAGGCUUUGACGGGUAGCCGGCCUGAGAGGGUGACCGGCCACAUGGGGACUGAGAUACGGCCCAGACUCCUACGGGAGGCAGCAGUGGGGAGUAUUGCACAAUGGGCGGAAGCCUGAUGCAGCAACGCCGCGUGCGGGAUGACGGCCUUCGGGUUGUAAACCGCUUUCGCCUGUGACGAAGCGUGAGUGACGGUAAUGGGUAAAGAAGCACCGGCUAACUACGUG
rnacentral:rRNA from 1 species